CAGCUGCCCGAGGGAAAGUCGGAGACGGCCCUGAGGACCCUCGCGACGAUCCUGGGCAACUUGCAGCGCUGCCCAGGCGAGCCCAAGUACAGGGUCCUCAAGAAGU
rnacentral:ribozyme from 14 species